rnacentral:rRNA from 1 species
UUGGAGGGCAAGUCUGGUGCCAGCAGCCGCGGUAAUUCCAGCUCCAAUAGCGUAUAUUAAAGUUGUUGCAGUUAAAAAGCUCGUAGUUGAACUUCGGGGUUUACCCAUUGGUCAGGCUUUAUUGUCUGCACUGGUGAGAUGAAUCUCUACCUUCUGAGGAACUUUCAUGCCAUUUAUUUGGUGUGAUGGGAAAUCAGGACUGUUACUUUGAAAAAAUUAGAGUGUUUAAAGCAGGCUAACGUCUGAAUACAUUAGCAUGGAAUAAUGAAAUAGGACGGACUGAUUCUAUUUCGUUGGUUUCUAGGAUCACCGUAAUGAUUAAUAGGGAUAGUUGGGGGCAUUAGUAUUCAAUUGUCAGAGGUGAAAUUCUUGGAUUUAUUGAAGACUAACUACUGCGAAAGCAUUUGCCAAGGAUGUUUUCAUUAAUCAAGAACGAAAGUUAGGGGAUCGAAGACGAUCAGAUACCGUCGUAGUCUUAACCAUAAACUAUGCCAACUAGGGAUCGGACGAAGUUAAUUUUAUAAUGACGCGUUCGGCGCCUUACGGGAAAC